rnacentral:lncRNA from 1 species
CUGUCAUAAUAUACAAUAUGUGCUGCCAUUUGCAGAGCCGAGUCCCCUGACCUCAGCUAGCUGGUGGCAGAACCCCACAAAGCAGACUGAGCUCAGGCUGCAAGGCCAGAAUGAGUUCCCCUGACCUCCUAAAGGGCUGAAAUCCACUCAGUUCUACUAUAAGUUUCCCCCACCAUUUCUUUAAAGAUGUUCUAAAUUGAAAGUGCCAGAAAAUACUCUUUAUGACCACCUCUGCCUCUACAGAGUAGGUCCAAAGACUGGUACAAUCAGGAGGUCUAAAAGCGCGAGGGGGAAGGUUGGGGGGGUUCCGGGGUGCACGCGCAGCUACCUUUCUAGCGCUGAAGAUGGCGGCGGCAGCGCCAGCAGGGGAGGGCGUGGCCGAGAAGAUCCUCUGGUGCUGAAGAUGGUGGGAAGUCCUCUGGGGAGGGCGUGGCCUAGAAGACCCCCGCCCCCGCACUAAAGAUGGCAGACGCAGCCUGCAGGAGAGGGCGCGGCCUCCGUGCAUUUUUUUUUUAAAUUUUAUUGAGUUUAUUGGUACAUUUUAGGGAUACAGUACAGUUACAUUCAUUGUUGGGAUCAUGUACCUUUACAUGGCAAGUCUUGAUUCUCAUUUUUUCCCCUUACCUCUGCCCUCCCUUCACCCCCUCCUCCCCUCCCCAUCUACAAACACUUUAUUUUCCUCUUCUCCAUGCAUUUUUAAUGCGUUCAUACAUUAAAUAUUCUCCUUAUUCUCCAAAGGUAGGUUCGUAUCCAGGGAUAUACUUCGCAUUAUGGGACGUGAUAUGGGAAGUGCUAGCUUUUACAGAGAGGACAAGAACUUUUCUGAGAAGUUCUUAGGAAUCUUAUCAUAAGAAUAUUUUAUCGUAACCUGCAAAGAGGACUCCAAGGGAUUGCUAUUUGGAGCAAAGAAAAAUUCAGGCACCGCUGAGCCCUGCUCACACUUCUGUCACCCCUGGUAAGUAACAACCCAUACUCAGAUCUGAAAUCAAUCCAUCUACUCUUCAGCCCUUGGAGUAGUUCCUGUGUCUGAGUUCUUUCUUGGUGGCCUCGGACCCUAGCACAGAGCACAAAUGAGGUACUCAGUAACUGUUCUGAAGGAACAUUUGCAUAAGUGAGAAAAUCUAGUCCCCUUCCCUCUUCUCAAUGUCCAAUCCUCCCAAAAGAAACUGGAACUCUAUCUGGCACAAUAUUGUGUAACAAUUCAAAAUGAAUACUUUGAAGAGAACUGUAAACAAG